AUUAUCGAUUCGUAACACCUAACUCACUGUGCACUUGGUCGCCGUGCUGCACACUUCGUGGCGUGCGCGCGGCUCCUUUCGGGGUUUGCCUCCCUCUCUCAGGGGGCAAUUAAAUCGGGACGCCAGUGUUCCGGGCCCCGAUCGGAGCUCGCGUUGCCGCGGCGCUCUGUGCAGCACCGGCGGUUUUCACGGCCGCGCCUCCGUGCGCGGCGUUCGUGAAUUCUUACACCAACCUGGCAAAUUUGCAGACUGUACUGUUGGUCAAGCUUGUCUUGAUGAUCAAAUCAUUGACAACUUUCAACGGUGGAUCUCUUGGCUCGUGGAUCGAUGAAGAACGCAGCAAAACGCGAUAUGUAGUGUGAAUUGCAGAAUUCAGUGAAUCAUCGAAUCUUUGAACGCAAAUGGCGCUUCUGGGUAUUCCCAGGAGCAUGUCUGUCUCAGUGUCGUUUUCACCUCGAGCACGCUUCGGCGUGGUUGUCUUGAGGCGUCUGGGCGCCGCGCUCGCUCGUCGAGUUUCGCUCCCAGUCCCUUGAAAUUCAGUGGCCGGACAGUGUGUGCUCUCGGGUCGGUUCGCCCCGAAUUCGCUCGCACGGCUGAUGGCGAGAUCUCUUCUGAUCUCCCUUGUCGUGUCGCAGCGGUCGUGGGUGGAGCUUGACCUCGAACGGCCUUUGUCCGAAACAAGCCAGUUCUGGAAAACGACUCGUUCUCUGCUGUCUCUCUCUGUGGAGCGCGAAGAACAUCUCCGACCUGA
rnacentral:rRNA from 1 species